rnacentral:rRNA from 1 species
UACAGAGGGUGCAAGCGUUAAUCGGAUUUACUGGGCGUAAAGGGCGCGUAGGUGGUUAUUUAAGUGAGAUGUGAAAUCCCCGGGCUUAACCUGGGAAUUGCAUCUUAUACUGGAUAGCUGGAGUGAAGUAGAGGGUAGUGGAAUUUCCGGUGUAGCGGUGAAAUGCGUAGAUAUCGGAAGGAACACCAGUGGCGAAGGCGGCUACCUGGACUUACACUGACACUGAGGCGCGAGAGCGUGGGGAGCAAAC